UUCUUUUGAGAGUCAUGGUGAAAACUUUGCCUCACCAUGGACUCAACUUUCAGAAGCAAGGUGAUAAUUAGGCAUGAAUGAUUCUUCUGUUUGAAAACCUCCACAAAUGUACCCAAUUAAGGAAACCAAGGAAUCCUUUCCCAUGAGAACCAAGGAGCCUUUGCAGAGUGUACAGCAGGUGCUGCCAGAGGCACAGGUACUCCCCUUUCUCUGCUUCUCAUGUGAGGAUUCUGGUGGCCUUCUGCAUCUCACAGGCUUAAGCUGCAGGUGAGCUACAGCUGUAAUCUCAGGUCACUCCCAAGCAAACCUUCCUCCCACAUCACACCACUGAUGAACUGGUGUGCUCAAAUGUUUUCAGGGGGAGCUCUGGCACCAUUUUUAACACUUAGAUUUAAUCAAAAUGUCUUUUCUUUGCCUUGUUGUUUUUUGUUUAAAAUUGUUGUUCUAACUAGAGUGCAUACUGAUAACAAAGGCCUUCAGAAACUUACAGUAUUACUUAAGAUAGGAGCUGCUGCAAUGUUUAUCUGCACUAAAAGGAAGAAACAAGUUUUGUUGGGCAAGUUUGUUUCUUAUGGGUUUUUUCUCAUUAAAAGAAAAACUUUUUGCAUUA